UACAGAGGGGCAAGCGUUGUUCGGAAUUACUGGGCGUAAAGGGCGCGUAGGCGGCCUGUUAAGUCGAACGUGAAAUCCCCGGGCUCAACCCGGGAACUGCGUCCGAUACUGGCAGGCUUGAAUUCGGGAGAGGGAUGCGGAAUUCCAGGUGUAGCGGUGAAAUGCGUAGAUAUCUGGAGGAACACCGGUGGCGAAGGCGGCAUCCUGGACCGAGAUUGACGCUGAGGCGCGAAAGCCAGGGGAGCAAACGGG
rnacentral:rRNA from 1 species